CCUACGGGAGGCUGCAGUGAGGAAUAUUGGUCAAUGGGCGGAAGCCUGAACCAGCCAAGUAGCGUGCAGGAUGACGGCCCUACGGGUUGUAAACUGCUGUUAUACGGGAAUAACGCGCCGUACGUGUAGGGCUUUGCAUGUACCGUAUGAAUAAGGACCGGCUAAUUCCGUGCCAGCAGCCGCGGUAAUACGGAAGGUCCGGGCGUUAUCCGGAUUUAUUGGGUUUAAAGGGAGCGUAGGCCGCAUGUCAAGCGUGCUGUGAAAUGUCCGGGCUCAACCCGGGCCUUGCAGCGCGAACUGGCGUGCUUGAGUCCGCGGCAGGCAGGCGGAAUUCGUCGUGUAGCGGU
rnacentral:rRNA from 1 species